rnacentral:tRNA from 1 species
GUGUCUUUAGUUUAUGCGGUAAAACGUCUCACUGUGGAUGAGGAGAAUAGGGUUCGAAUCCCAAAGACACCCA